AGUCAACCCGCAUAAUCGGACCAGUUUGGCUUGGUCCCGACGUGGUCCGAAUAAGCGGG
rnacentral:miRNA from 1 species